rnacentral:rRNA from 1 species
CAGCCGCCACGGUAAUCCGUAGGUGGCAAGCGUUGUCCGGAAUUAUUGGGCGUAAAGCGAGCGCAGGCGGUUAGAUAAGUCUGAAGUUAAAGGCUGUGGCUUAACCAUAGUACACUUUGGAAACUGUUUAACUUGAGUGCAAGAGGGGAGAGUGGAAUUCCAUGUGUAGCGGUGAAAUGCGUAGAUAUAUGGAGGAACACCGGUGGCGAAAGCGGCUCUCUGGCUUGUAACUGACGCUGAGGCUCGAAAGCGUGGGGAGCAAACAGGAUUAGAUACCCCAGUAGUCCCUGUCUCUUAUACA